CUACUUACCGGGCAGGGGAGACACCGCGAUCAGGACGGGGGUUUUCCCAGGGCGAGGCUCGCCCGGUGCACCGCGGGCGUGCUGAUCCUGUGAUUUCCCCAAAUGAGGGGAAACUCGACUGCAUACUUUGUGGUAGUGGGGCACUGUGUUUGCGCUCUCUCCUG
rnacentral:snRNA from 1 species